CCUACGGGAGGCAGCAGUGGGGGAUAUUGCACAAUGGGGGAAACCCUGAUGCAGCGACGCCGCGUGGGCGAAGAAGUAUUUCGGUAUGUAAAGCCCUAUCAGCAGGGAAGAAGAAAUGACGGUACCUGAGUAAGAAGCACCGGCUAAAUACGUGCCAGCAGCCGCGGUAAUACGUAUGGUGCAAGCGUUAUCCGGAUUUACUGGGUGUAAAGGGAGCGCAGGCGGCACGGCAAGCCUGAUGUGAAAGCCCGCGGCCCAACCGCGGGACUGCAUUGGGAACUACCGGGCUGGAGUGCCGGAGAGGUAGGCGGAAUUCCUAGUGUAGCGGUGAAAUGCGUAGAUAUUAGGAGGAACACCAGUGGCGAAGGCGGCUUACUGGACAGUAACUGACGUUGAGGCUCGAAAGCGUGGGGAGCAAACAGGAUUAGAUACCCCGGUAGUC
rnacentral:rRNA from 1 species